AUUGAACGCUGGCGGCAGGCCUAACACAUGCAAGUCGAGCGGAUGAAGGGAGCUUGCUCCUGGAUUCAGCGGCGGACGGGUGAGUAAUGCCUAGGAAUCUGCCUGGUAGUGGGGGAUAACGUCCGGAAACGGGCGCUAAUACCGCAUACGUCCUGAGGGAGAAAGUGGGGGAUCUUCGGACCUCACGCUCUCAGAUGAGCCUAGGUCGGAUUAGCUAGUUGGUGGGGUAAAGGCCUACCAAGGCGACGAUCGGUAACUGGUCUGAGAGGAUGAUCGGUCACACGGGAACUGAGACAGGGUCCAGAGGCCUACGGGAGGCAGCAGUGGGGAAUAUUGGACAGUGGGCGAAAGCCUGAUCCAGCCAUGCCGCGUGUGUGAAGAAGGUCUUCGGAUUGUAAAGCACUUUAAGUUGGGAGGAAGGGCAGUAAGUUAAUACCUUGCUGUUUUGACGUUACCAACAGAAUAAGCACCGGCUAACUUCGUG
rnacentral:rRNA from 1 species